rnacentral:rRNA from 1 species
CGAGUUUGAUCCUGGCUCAGGAUGAACGCUAGCGGCAGGCCUAACACAUGCAAGUCGAGGGGUAUAGGGAGCUUGCUUCCUAGAGACCGGCGCACGGGUGCGUAACGCGUAUGCAAUCUACCUUGUACAGGGGAAUAGCCCAGAGAAAUUUGGAUUAAUGCCCCAUAGUAUUAUUAAAUGGCAUCCUUUAAUAAUUAAAGUUCCAACGGUACAAGAUGAGCAUGCGUCCUAUUAGUUAGUUGGUGUGGUAUCGGCAUACCAAGACGAUGAUAGGUAGGGGUCCUGAGAGGGAGAUCCCCCACACGGGUACUGAGACACGGACCAGACUCCUACGGGAGGCAGCAGUGAGGAAUAUUGGACAAUGGGCGCAAGCCUGAUCCAGCCAUGCCGCGUGCAGGAAGACGGUCCUAUGGAUUGUAAACUGCUUUUAUACAGGAAGAAACACUGGUUCGUGAACCAGCUUGACGGUACUGUAAGAAUAAGGAUCGGCUAACUCCGUG